rnacentral:rRNA from 1 species
CCUACGGGAGGCAGCAGUGAGGAAUAUUGGUCAAUGGACGAGAGUCUGAACCAGCCAAGUAGCGUGAAGGAUGACUGCCCUAUGGGUUGUAAACUUCUUUUAUAUGGGAAUAAAACGUUCCACGUGUGGGAUUUUGUAUGUACCAUAUUAAUAAGGAUCGGCUAACUCCGUGCCAGCAGCCGCGGUAAUACGGAGGAUCCGAGCGUUAUCCGGAUUUAUUGGGUUUAAAGGGAGCGUAGGUGGAUUGUUAAGUCAGUUGUGAAAGUUUGCGGCUCAACCGUAAAAUUGCAGUUGAAACUGGCAGUCUUGAGUACAGUAGAGGUGGGCGGAAUUCGUGGUGUAGCGGUGAAAUGCUUAGAUAUCACGAAGAACUCCGAUUGCGAAGGCAGUUCACUGGACUGCAACUGACACUGAGGCUCGAAAGUGUGGGUAUCAAACAGGAUUAGAUACCCCAGUAGUC